GGGGAAGUGUUAAAAAAUUCAAAAUUUAAUACAUCCAUAACAUGCUACAUUAAAAAAGGAGUUCCCAGGGCCGCCAGCCUUACAGUAGAGGUUGAGUAGUAGUAUAUUUUUCCUACAUAA